GAAGAUUUCUAUCAAAUAUAAAAAGUGAGAAAUAGAAAUCAUUCCCUUUAAUUUAUGACAAAUUAAAAUUAUUGAAGUAAAAUGUUUCUAAGUCAGUUUCUGGAUAGUUCUUGAAUGAGUCAAGAAAAAACUCAAACACUAAAUUUCUAAGCUAAUUUGUUCAUUAUUCCUUUCUGUUUAUUAUUUAUUAUAUGAGUGCAAAUUGCAAAUGUAUUAGAAAAGACAAUAUAGCCUUCACAUUCACAAGUGUGCCUUCUGGCCUUUGAAAUCUUUUAACAUAAGAUCAAUAUAACAUAUUUGUUCCCCAUAAAAAUCUCUUAUGUACAGGGAAUAAGGUCCUCCAUAGCUACACAGAGACACCCAUUCUUGCAGUCUGGCAUUCUUAACACCUUUAGCUUCAAAGGCAGUCGGUUUCAAUUUCAAGCUAAAAUUGUGAAUAUACAAUUAAGUGCGCAACUUGGGCCUUCAGACCAAAUAAUUAAUGCUCCUCAAAUUAAAUAAUGAGUGGCUGAAAAGCCUAAUGUGUAACAACAGAGUAAGUGACUUCAACGGCUUCCUGAACCUUCAUUUUGAGGGUGUUCUCAUCUCACCCACCUCUGGGCUAGGUAUCCUCUGUUAAUUGCUAACAAUUUCCUACCAAAAUAGUGCAAUCAGGACUGCCCAUCACAGCAAAUUACUCCAAUUAAUGCCCUUUCCUCUUCUGUGAACCAAAAAUAUCUCUCUCCUGUCUCUCAUCUCUAUCCCAGGUAUAAAUUGACUAAUAAAUUUUACAGAGUUUUAGUCAAAAUUAUGAAUUUUAAUUUCCAGCAACAUUAUUCCUUUAGUCUUUCUAUUCCCCAAAACAUUCUUAAAUUUUGGUAUCAAAUGUUCAUUUCUGUCCUAGAGAUUGUGGUUCCCAUGGCUACAGAUUUUUGUAUAGUGGUAGUAUGAGUGGAAUAAGAUCUGAGACUUUUCCUGGUGAUAUCCACCAUUCUCUUGUGAACUCAUUGCAGAAUAAACAGCCUCUUUCACUUUCAUUGUAAGUAGUUCUUUAGGUUGGCAAAGCAGGCACCAGAAUCUGAAUUUGAAUGAAAUCUGUACUUUCUUUUGUUGGCCUAUUUUUUGCCAAGACAGCCUGCCUAUUGUAUAUUUAGGAAUCAAAUAUUCAUUUUUUCUGUUUGUAAAGCCAGAAAUAUUUCAGUUAAAAAGAAUAUAAUUUUAUAUUAUUUUAAUAAUUCUUUUUAAGUAAAGUAGGAAAAUUUCUGCCACCUGAGAUGUUACUGUUUUUAUUUAUAUGAAAAUUCCAUUUUUUUCUUUAUGACUCUUUUCCCAUACCAUUAUGAUAUGUUCAGCAUUAGUAUUUUCCAUUUUACCACUAAACAAAUAAGCCAGGACUAAUAACAAUAGCAGUUUGAGAGUUUUUAUUUUGGCAUUUUGGUUUUAAUUAGGAAAGAAAACAUGGAUGCUAUUAAAACUAGUUGUAGUUAAAAAUGUUUUGAAUGAGGCUACUAACGCUAUCUUAGUCAUCUCAAAGAGAAAGAGAAGAAGUAAAAUUUUAAAUACCUUUUUGGCAUUUUUAACCAAUUCAUAUGAACAAAAACAUAUAUUCUAUUAAAGCAAAAUAAAGAAUAGUUUAAAACACUAGUCUUCUUGCAUGUGAAUAUUUUCCCCCUAACAGACAAGAUAGAAUCCAUUUCUGGACACUCUAAAAGAAAGUAAUGUUAAUUGAGAGAGCUGUCUCCAAAUGGAACUCAACCUGACCAGAAUCCCAUCCGCAGGCAAGAGAUGGGCUGUGGGGCCGACCAUAAGUUUUAUUCUGAGACGAGAUGCUUUAUGGCUGCUGGCUGCAUUAUGGCAUCUAGCAGUCCCCACUGGUUUGUGGGAACAAAACACAUGGAUUGAUAUUCAAUAUGAGUUUGGUAAGUUGGAGAAAAAUGGAGACGAUACGGAGUAGUCUAAAGGCACAACAAAUAAGAAGGUGCCAGAGGUAGGGAAGGGUCUGAGAGGGGUAGUUGCAGAAGCAUUUAGCUUUCAUAGAUGAGGGGAGAGUUUUUUGGUUUUAUGAAGAUUAGGCAGCCCUCCUGAGGAAAGUAUUAAGGAUAGAAUGAGACACUUGUCUUGGUGGUUUGGUGAAGUCGUGUCGAAGGCAAAAGGAUGAACUACACAUAUUUUGAGCAUGAUUUAGUAAUAUUGUUUGCAAGUUGAGAAACAGAAAUUCAGCCAUUCUCCUGACUGAUGGUAGGUGAAAUUCUUCCCAAUAUUAGAGCCAAUCUGGGUUACCAUACGUUCAUAUAUUUAACAGCUAUUUGUUAAACAACUGUGAUGUUCCAGGCACUGUUCUAGGUUCUUAGGAUACACCAUAUAACAAAACAAAUAGUGAUCCUUGCCCUCAUGUGCCAGCUCUGUGUUAAAUGCUAACUAUUAUCUUAUUCAAUCCUCCAAAUAACCCUAUAGGAUAUAUAUCAUUCCACAGACAAGGAAGCUGAGGGUUAAAUGGGAUAAGAAUCUUGCUCAAAGUCUCACUGGCUUUAAAAUAUUAAUAUAUAUUUUACAUCAUUCAAGACAGAUAUAUAAUUAGCUGAAUAUUCUCACCUCUAUUAACUGAAUGUAGAGUGUCAGGUACAUGGGAAGUAAGUUAUUUACGUGAUCUGAAAUAAGAGGACAACCUUUGCCAAAUUACUUUUAUUACCAUGGAGAAGAAAGCUUCAAUGAAAUGCCUGUUUCAGCCCAUCUUCAGUAUUGGUUGGUUAAUACCAUUUGUUAACACCAAUCCUUUCCUCUUUUACUGCUAACAUGUGACUGUGUUUAAAAUUAUAGAUUGCAGCAGAGUGUUGGCCAAGGAUUAUUGUAGUAGGAUAAAGUUUCCCUGUAUUUGAAAUUUACCCAAACUGUAGCAAAUACAUCUUUCCUUCUUUAUGGAGGUCACACGUGUGCAUAGUAUGUGCCUGAAUACAGGUAAACUUUGUGUUUUAAAAUUACAUGGCCUUUUUUAGAGUCGACUGAAGGCUAGACUCUUCUUGCCCAUGUUGCUGGAUAGGCUUUCAAAUCUCAGGCCUUGGAGAGUUAAAUGACUUUCUGAUAUUUCUUACGGUGGAGCCACAUAAGAAAUACACACAUUCCUAGUUUGAGCAAUGGAUGUGUAUAUUGGGGAUCUUCACUUUUAUGUAUCUGGUAGUCAUGAUGGUGCCUAUUCCCAACUGUAGGAAAGGAAAGCCCUCAAGGAGAAAAUUCUCUUUCAAAAAGGCUCAGAUUUCUAACAAUUAUGUCUAAAUGUUUCUUCAAUUUAGAACAUGUACAAAAGCUACUUAAUAUUAGCAGAGUAGUUCUUGUGUUUUCAUUUCAAAUGAAAUAUUCCCAGUUCCAAAGUUUAUUUCCUUGGCAUUUUCAAGAAGGAUGGUUAUUUUUAGUUCUGGUUAUUUGGUGUUGGAGGUCUGUGACACUUCCUUAUACAUUUAAAGCCCCCUUUGAAUAGUUGUAUCAAUAGUUCAAAAGCCUGUAGAUAUCUUGCUUUUCUAUUCUGACAGCCCAGCUUCUGCAGACUCAGGCCAACCUUAGGUAUGUCACAUCAGUUCCCCAUCUGUGUAAAUUACCUGAACCUCUCUGUGGUAUUCACUGAGAGUUGAGCUUCUACUAAGGGAUUUCCUUGACCUGGGCUUUUAACACCAGAUUUGUAGUGGAGUGUUUAUUAGUAAAGCAAAGGAGUAAGUCAGAGAUGCUAGCCCCUGCUCUCAGUUAAACAGAACUAUCCUCCUUCCUGAAUAUUUAAACAUAAAAUUAAUUUUAAACUACUAUAAAAAUCAUGUUCCAUUGCUUGCCAAAUCUUAUACCAUUAUAAUGCUGUAUUUUUACAUGUUAGUAUACAUUGUGUCCAUAGGGAUAUAAAUAUGAGAAUUUCAGCAACUGUCUUGCAGGGUUAAGAUGUGCUAUUUGUUGAUUUUGCAAAUUUUUCUCAUGUGGUACAGUCCCUCCAAAGAAAAUUUCCUUAGACCUAAAUGGUAGCAUAAUAAUUUCUCCUCCAUAUCCGUGACUAACAAGUUCCUGAAAACAGAAGUAGACAUAUUUUAUGCCCAAUUUAGUACCUAAUAAUUGAGGCUUAAAACAAAAUUUUCUUGGGCAAGUUGGGUGAUUAAAUAUGAAUUAAAACUUCUAGAGAAAGAUUUCCAGAUGCCCCUGUUUUCCAUUUUGAUUAUGGUUUUAGUUUCAUAGCAACUUGGGGGAAAAAAAUCAUUUACUUUAUGUCGUAUUACAACAACAACUUUGACAGCUUAAAUGUAGUGACCUCUCUGAAGGUAAUAUGCACAUUAUAAUUUAGGAUGAAAGCAGAUUUAAACUAAGACUUUCUGAGAUGAAAUAAAAGUAACCAAUUCAUAAUAGUCAUGUUUAUUGCAGCAAUAUCUUGGGAACUUAAGUUUAGUGGCGUUUGAGGUGUUUCUGACUAUCUUGCUUGUUCAUUUCACCCUGCUCUGCAGAGACAGAAUAUGAUUGAAUGAACUGCCCAUUAUAUUAAUGACCAGUUCAAAGCAGUUUUGUGCUUUGGCUAUAGAUAAAAUUUGGCAAAAAUACUGUAGGCCUUUCUGGUCCAUAUUUAUCCUUAAAGUAUUUUUGCCAAUCAAUAAAAAUGAAAUAUUUAUCCAGAAAUAGAAAAAGCUCUUUCCUAUGACAUUGACAUAGAAGCCCAAAUACUCCUUGUUUGAGACCCUGCAUGUCUUUUGUGUUUAACUGAAUCAAUGAUUUUUUUUAGUUGUGCUCUUAAUUGCAUUAUUUCACAUAUGUAACACUGGGUUUGUUUUGGUUAUAUAGUAUUAUUUUACUUUAUUCUAAUUUCAACUCAUGUCACUCUGUAGCUCAUUAAGAAUUUGUUCAACUGAAAAUUAAAAUGUGUGUUAAAGCAAUAAAAAUGAAAAGAUUGGCUAUGCAUUUUAUGUUGAUAUUUGGUGGCGGAUUUCUUGGGUGGGAUGAAAAAAAUGGAGAUUAAUAAAUUGCUGAGUAGUCCAAC
rnacentral:lncRNA from 10 species